rnacentral:rRNA from 1 species
GAGGAAUAUUGCACAAUGGACGGAAGCCUGAUGCAGCAACGCCGCGUGAGGGACGAAGGCCUUCGGGUCGUAAACCUCUUUUCUGUGGGACGAGACAAGGACGGUACCACAGGAAUCAGUCUCGGCUAACUACGUGCCAGCAGCCGCGGUAAAACGUAGGAGGCGAGCGUUAUCCGGAUUUACUGGGCGUAAAGCGCACGCAGGCGGCUUGGUAAGUUGGACGUGAAAGCUCCUGGCUUAACUGGGAGAGGCCGUUCGAAACUGCCGGGCUUGAGGUUGGGAGAGGGGUGUGGAAUUCCCGGUGUAGUGGUGGAAUGCGUAGAUAUCGGGAGGAACACCAGUGGCGAAGGCGGCACCCUGGCCCACACCUGACGCUGAGGUGCGAAAGCGUGGGGAGCAAAC